AUAUUUGAUAAAAUUCAAUGAAAAUACUUGAUUAAAAAAUUUGAAAAUUCACACACUCAGAUAAUAAAAAUGAAAGUAAAAAAGUUCUCACAUCAAAUACUAAUAAUGUCAUAAAAACUAACUACACCUCUCAGCAUUUGACUUCUAUAUUGCAAAAUCCAUCAACACGGUAUAGAAUCCACAGCAAUGCUUGAUUCGUGGAUGGUUAUCGACAAUAUUCUUACCUCUCAUCAUGGUGCUUUACAAAAUUGAUAAGAAGACUCGAGGAGAAGGAAAGUUUCCCAUUUAUGAAGAGAGAUGAACGGCAACGUAGUUUCUAAAAUGGGAAAGACGACUGUGCUCUGUUUCUCUCAGACAAUAAUUUUCACCGAAGAAAAGGCCGGCGUCUUGUCAUGUAAUAAUCGUGGCAGCCACCCAUAAAAGCAGAGGGAACCCCUGCCGGCUUUUCCAAAUUAACAAAAGUGCUGGAUGCGAACGCAUUGCAGGGUUCUUGCUAGAUUAAGGUAAUUGACUCAGCACUCUUCCUUGCCAUGGACUUUUGAGCUCCAACCUAAAAGAUGGAGAAAAAUGGGUUGGCAGUUGGGAGCUACAUCUCUCUUUGGAGGAAGC
rnacentral:lncRNA from 1 species